GCUGUCUUGCUCUCAUUCUUCAUGUCUCUUGUCCCUCACAGUCUCUCUCCCUUGCUCUAGGCCCCUGAUGAAUGCCCUGCUGGUCGGGGCAACUGGCACCUAGCUUGGAGCCCCUGGGUCUGGGGUCCAAGAAGACCACCACUCCCCCAAGAGGACAUUCUCCCCCCAUAGGAUCUCUGCUUCAUCAGCAAUAAAUGCAAUGGCUGAAAGCCGACAGCAAAUAGGUCAGCCACUUGAGCUAGUGACCUUCACUUUUCUACCAUGAAAAGGAAUGCAGGAGACCUGAGGCAAGACUCUUGUUCCCACUUGAGUUCCUCAUUCCCUGGCUUUCCUCCGUGGAGGACUGUUACCUGGGAGGGUAAGCCAUGACUUUCCUCCAAGGCAGCCUGUGAUCCGGAGGACCAUAACCUGAAAGGUUUGCAGAAGCAGCGAACGACUGCUGGGGAGGGAGAAGAAGGCAACAUCUGCAGAGGACCCUACCCAGCAGAACUGCACAAAGGGAAUGAUUGGAAUCGUUCAGCUGCCUGCAGCCAUCCGAAGAUCUCUAUGGUUGCAGCUUUUGAGAGUCUGGGCCAUGCUGGGAUGCAAUUUCAGUGAUAGUUAUUUUGGCUGCCCCUGCUCCUCUAGGUCGGUGCAACCACCCAUCCUGGUGCAGAGGAAGCCAGAAUGCUGUAUGGCAUCAUCAAGAUCAGCCGCAUAAACCUAGAUCUCAACUCCACACUCACUUCCUGCAAAGUGCACUAUGUGUGUGAAACAGCUCUGUUCCUGAAGAGUUGAGAAGUUGAGUGUUUCCUCUGCUGCUCUGAGAUGCUUUCCAGGAAUUACUGAAGUUAGCCAGCGAAGUACCCCAGCUCUGCCGAGUCUGGCCGGUGUUAGAAUCUGCUGGAGUCUGAACCUCUUAGCUUCAAAGCACCAUCAGCUAUACAUCUUCACUGUGAGAGAUGUGUUUGCACUUUGUAAAGGGAGAAGCUGGGACCAGCAAGACCAGGCACACAGAAACACUGCCAGCCCAGUGGCUCAAGAUCCUUCCAAUCUGUUUGGGUCGGCUGGUGCAGACCUUAGGAACAAGCUCCAUAGCCAGUUCCACAACACCAGAGGAAGCUCCAC